rnacentral:rRNA from 1 species
CCUACGGGUGGCAGCAGUGGGGAAUAUUGCGCAAUGGGGGCAACCCUGAUGCAGCGACGCCGCGUGAGUGAAGAAGUAAUUCGUUACGUAAAGCUCUAUCAGCAGGGAAGAAACACUGACCUUACGGUCAGCAGACGGUACCUGAGUAAGAAGCCCCGGCUAACUCCGUGCCAGCAGCCGCGGUAAUACGGAGGGUGCUAGCGUUAGUCGGAAUUACUGGGCGUAAAGCGCUCGUAGGCGGUAUGUCAAGUCAAGGGUGAAAUCCCCGCGCUCAACGUGGGAACUGCCUUUGACACUGGCAAACUGGAGUGUGUGAGAGGAUAGUGGAAUUCCAGGUGUAGGAGUGAAAUACGUAGAUAUCUGGAGGAACAUCAGUGGCGAAGGCGACUAUCUGGCACAUAACUGACGCUGAGGAGCGAAAGCGUGGGUAGCAAACAGGAUUAGAUACCCGGGUAGUC